CACCCGUCGUGGCAAGCGACCAGGGGCGCCGGGCUGGUAAUUGGAACAGGGGCCAGCCAUGCGCACGCCGGGGAUGCCGAGGGGCCGGUAGUCGGGGGACUGCCGGCCCCUUUUUU
rnacentral:antisense_RNA from 1 species